rnacentral:antisense_RNA from 1 species
GUGGAGGAUGGAGACAAGCCACUCACCAGGCCCUGCAGCCCCGCCCCCACUCCCAGCUCACCAAGACACAGUACUCCUUGCCCGGCUCGGUGGAGACGGCGCUGAUGUCGCCCAGCUUGGCUGUGCCCAAAGAGCGGAAGAAGCUGGUCUGGCAAUCCUCAUGGCACGUAAAGAGGCGGUCAUCCGUGAGGACCAGGCAGCAGGGCUCCUGCCAAGCCCAUGUGUUCUUGCUCCGGCCCCUGUGAUUCUCCUCAGCACACGCAGUUGCACCCAAGAGGAGCCCUGAGAGGUCCAAGGAGAAGACAGAGCCUCCCCGGGUGAGCUGCCAGAGUGAGCUCAGGAAUCCUGCUCCAGGAACUCCAGAAAUCUCACCCUGCCCUGAGGCAAGCAGUGCAACUGGGCUGUUAGUUCUCAGGCCGCAGGGAGCUCUGAAAGGCUGUAGAGGAAGGUCAGGCCCUGCUUGUCAAGUGACUGCAACAGGCGUGUCAGGAGGGGGGUUAGUUGUUAGAAUCGGAGGGAAAAAAAAAACAAUAUCCAGCAUGUGUGCUGCAAGAAGAGGGGCUAAGAGGGUACAUGAUGUUAUGAUGGAAUUCUGGAAUCCAAGCUAAUUUAACUCAAACAGGGGACCCUUCAAUGCUA